rnacentral:rRNA from 1 species
UUCUGGUUGAUCCUGCCGAAGGCUACUGCUAUUGGAGUUCGAUUAAGCCAUGCGAGUCUAAGGGGUACUUGUACCCCUGGCAUAAUGCUCAGUAACACGUGGAUAAUCUACCCUUAGGUGGGGCAUAAACCCGGGAAACUGGGGCUAAUACCCCAUAGAUACAGAAGGCUGGAAUGCCUCUGUAUUCAAAGCUCCGGCGCCUAAGGAUGAGUCUGCGACCUAUCAGGUAGUAGUCAGGGUCACGACCUGACUAGCCAACGACGGGUACGGGGUGUGAGAGCACUUGCCCGGAGAUGGUUUCUGAGACACGAAACCAGGCCCUACGGGGCGCAGCAGGCGCGAAAACUUCGCAAUGCGGGAAACCGUGACGAGGGAACUCCAAGUGUCUAUGCAAUGCAUAGACUGUUUUUCAGCCUAAAUAGCUGUUAGAGUAAGGGGUGGGUAAGACCGGUGCCAGCAGCCGCGGUAACACCGGCACCCCGAGUGGUAGCCACUAUUAUUGGGCCUAAAGCGUUCGUAGCCGGUUUAGUAAAUUCUUGGGUAAAUCGUACAGCUUAACUGUGCGGAUUCCGGGGACACUACUAGACUUGAGACCGGGAGAGAUUAGAGGUACUUGCAGGGGAGCGGUGAAAUGUUGUAAUCCUGCAGGGACCACCAGUGGCGAAGGCGUCUAAUCAUAACGGCUCUGACGGUGAGGAACGAAACCCUGGGGCGCAAACGGGAUUAGAUACCCCGGUAGUCCAGGGCGUAAACGCUGCUGACUUGGUGUUGGAGAUCCUACGAGGGUGUCCAGUGCUGGCGCGAAGGUAUUAAGUCAGCCGCCUGGGGAGUACGGUCGCAAGACUGAAACUUAAAGGAAUUGGCGGGGGAGCACUGCAACGUGUGGAGCGUGCGGUUUAAUUGGACUCAACGCCGGAA